rnacentral:lncRNA from 1 species
CCUAGCUAAUAGCCAUUUCUCUCCUUUUUGCUUUGCCAGCCAACCCUGAUUUUUUAUUCAGAUAUAGGCCAGCCUUGUGCCGGAGGGAAGGCUGGGAUUUUCUCCAGCCUCAGGGAAUAAAACUUAAUUGGUCUAAGCCAUUCCAGAUAAUUCCCCUGGUCUUGUCAGUGAUUCGCUUGGGAAUAAGCAUGUGACAUUAUUUUGGCCAAAGAGACCUGAGGGAAGUCUGUCAGAAGCUUCUGGAAAAUGUUCUUGUGUUCUUAAAAACAAAAACCAAAAACCUGACCUGCAAAAAGAAGCUUCUUCUCACGCAGGAGGUGUCGGAAACGAGGGCAGCCAUUUUGCAGGCUGGCGAGGCGAAGGAGCGAGCCUGAGAGGAUCAGCCAGUAAAGGAAAGAUUGGCAGAACCAGCACUGCUUUUCCUUGCCAAGCUUCUGAGUGCACCAACCUCGCAACCAUCCCUAAACUGGGCAUCUUGUCACAUGGUAAGAUAAAAAGCUUUGCAAUUCCUGCUGUUCAAAAUCUCCUGCUACUUGUAACCAAAAGCAUCCUAUCUGACAGACUUUUUCUUGUCAUUAGGUAUUCUUCCACAGCAUUAUUUGAACCAGACCUACUCUAUUCUGACUGGCAUCCCAUAACCCAUGUGACUACUUCCCUCUAGACACUGAGUUCAUUCAGUGUUUUGCUAUUUCUAGCUCUGUGGCAAUGGCACCCCUGAGCCCAUUUCCUAUUUCCUUAGUUUAAAUUCCGAGUUGAGUGUUAUCAACAGUUUUAAGGUUCUUAAUACAUAUUGUAAAUUGCCCCGGAGUCAUUAUUAAUGUGUUUUGUACCAAUCUUUAAAAAUUCUUCAUGGAAGGUUGAGCUAUCAGAAGAAUCAUUAGCAAAAAAUAUUAUUCCUGCAAGUACAAAUUUAUUUUCCAGAAUGAGUUCCAUUUAAGCAAAGUACAUCUUCUAAUGAACUUUAAUACUUUAUAUUCUUUAGCUAUGUUACGCUGGACUCAAGUUAUUAGGAACAAAGGAUAUUAGAUCCCAGGGCUAACUAAGGUCAUAUGUUUGGGCUGACGACUCUCAACUCCUCUACCCAUAUUCUUGGAAUCACCUAGGGACCUUAAAUAAAACCCCACCUAACCUUUACUGAGGUAUAAUUGAUGUACAAUAAAUUGCAUAUGAGAAAAAUGAACAAUUUGGUGAGUUUUACUAUAUAUAUACAUCCAUGGAGCCAUCACCAAAAUUAAGAUAAUAAAUACUUUAUCACCCUCCAAUUGCAGGGAUAACCAUCCUUGGUUGCCUGAUGGCCAAUGACAUGAAACCUAUUAUAUCAUGUAUUUUGUCUGUUUUUUUAGCUGUCUUAGGUGGGAAGGAAAAACCCACUCCCCGUUACUCCAUCUUGGAGAGAAGCAGAUACUCCCCAUGUGAAGAGCUUUUAUAAAACAAUCACUGUGCUCCAUCAUGGAACAAAUGAACUGUAAUAUUUUGGGGAAGGACUUGUAUACCAUAGUUAUUUUUUGAGGAAGGUAUAAUUUACAUGCAAUAAAAUUCAUCCUUUUCUGUGUACAAUUUUGUGGGUUUGGGCCAAUGAAUACAAUCAUGAAACUAUCACCAUACUCAUGAUACAGAAUAAUUCCAUUCCCUCUUCCAAAUUUUCUUCUGCUCCACCCCUUUGUAGUCAACCCCCACCUCCACUUCUAGCAACCCCUAGCUCCUGGCAACCACUGAUUCCCCCCCACUCCCCAUAGUGUUAGGGUACAUGGACCAGAGUAGAUGUUUGAGCAAGGGAGAUUGGCAGAUGGAGGGUCUAGAGUCAAAAACACGCAUUUGCUCCCUUGAAGAAACACAGGAGCAAGUACACUUGGCCAAAGCUGUAGUUUAUCCCUUAGCCUGAUGAACAGCUCUGAUCUUCAUCUAUAUUUCUUGGGCACAGAACAUAUAGGGCCAGAAGGACCAUCAUCACUGGGGUUAAUUUAAGGCCUCAAGAAUACUGAUUCUAUCAUGAUUAGUAGAUGUCUCUUGGUCCUUGUAUUUUUCUCUAUGUUCAGCAUUCACCUGCUCUAUAUACUCUAUUGUGUCCCUAGGUGACCAACUUAUGUAGCCAUACAUCCCAUUUGUUUUUGUCUUCUAACACAGGAUUGAUUUUUCUCUAAUAAUAUACAAAUACACAUUAUGUUGUAGUAUGCAUAAAUGCCAUCUUUCAGGUGUAGACACAGGAAGGUGAGGAGAGACAUCACUCACAGGAUUUGAGAGAAAGGGAUUGGAUCAGUGAAGGCAAAUGUACAGCAACAUCAUAAUUGUAUGAAAUCAUAACAGUUAUUUAAAGUUCCCUUGUCUGGGUCUCAUAAAAGCCCUACAAAUGGGAUACUCUUAUUUCCAUCUUCCAGAUGAGGACAUAAGCACGUAGAAGGUAGUCUGGAACAAAGAUUUCAAAGUAACAACCUGGUUCAGACUUAUGGAGUUUUCAGCCAUAGACCUGCAUGGGGGAUUGCAUAGAAGCUUCUAUCCACUUUGGAGUUCAGCCUCCUUCAUUCUCUUCUCCUCUGUGUGUGUGUUGCACCUGUAAGUGGAGUCAUUAGUUCUCUAAGUGUGGUCCCUGGACCAGCUGUCUCACUAUCACCUAGGAAAUUUUAAAAAUUGAGCUAAAAUUCACAUCACUUCCAAGUGGCCAUGUUAAUGGUAAAUGGUACAAUUCAUUCUCACUUAGUUAUACUGUUGAGUGUUGUGCAACUGUCUCCUCUAUCUGGCUGCUAACCAUUUUCGUCACCGAAAGGAAAUCCUGUACCCACUGAGCAGUCGCUCCUCAUCCCCCACUCCCCCCGCCUCCCCCCUGCACCAGCCCCUGGCAACCACAGAUCUUCUGUCUCUACAGAAUCAUACAAUAUAUGGCCAUUUGUGUCUGGCUCCUUUCACAUACCAUACUGUUUUUGAGGCUCACCCAAGCUGUAACAAGUAUCAGGACUUCAUUCCUGCCUAUUAUUCUAGGAACUUUUUAGAAAUGUCAAUACCUUGCCUCAUUUGGACCAAGUGAAUCAGAAACUCUGAAUGUGGGGUCCAGCCAUUUGUGUCCUUCUGGUUAUUCGGAUGCGUGCCAGAGUCUAAGAGCCACUGAUUUAGGAGAUGUCAGCCUAUGCUGUUUAACCCAGAACGAAGAUGUUGGGUUCCUAAAUUCAGAAUUGUGAUAUUCUGCCAAAAAGCCACAGUCGGUAUAGAUGUUUUAAAAACUAAAUGUUUUUUGCCUUUUUCUUGAGUGGUAGCAGAGGGCUGUCAGGAUCUGCCAGAUUCAUUUCUUGUCUUAGAAAACAUAUUGAAAAACUAGAGCAUGGUCUUUCAAAAUAAUCCCAGACUAUUUUUAAUAUCUCUCUGUUAACUUCAACCUUUUCCAUUUCAUUUCCAUUCUAUUUCUAGAAUGUCUAAUUGCUUCUCAAACAUCUCCAGAUGUGCCUUCCAUUACCCAGGCUUUGUAGGUGGCUGCAAACAGGACCAUCCCAGCAGACUCUUUUCUUCCUUCCCCUGUGGUACAGUACAGAUUUGUCCUGUACACACGCACACCUAAACUCAAGAGCCUGCUUGGAAGGCCGUCAGCUGCAAUGAACCUAAAGGAAUUUCUGUAAUUUGACACCCCAAUCCCGUAUUUCUUCUCUGGUAUUUCCCCCUCGCGGUGGCUUGGACAACCCACCUGACCCUCUGCUAGUAGUUUGUAGACUUAGGAAGAAUUGUCUAGGAUGGAAUGGGAACCUGUAGUAGUCCCUAUAAGCAACCAGCUGUCAAAUAAUUUGGGUUCAAGUGCUGACUUGAUUCAUGCUCGUUUGUUCAACAAAUACAGUAUUCAUUGAAAACCAUAUAAACUAUCUAUAGGGUGAGGAGACAGCAGUGAACAAGAAAGACACUGCCCCCCCCCAUCCCCAUUCUGGGGGGCUUAAAGUCUAGAGGGAGGUCAAAAUAAGGAAAGAGGUGGUUUUAGCACUGUGUGAGGAUGUCACAGGGGGAAGUUGCUAUAAAAUAGCAAUGUAUACUGGAGAGGCACAUAUUCCCGCAGAGAUGGAGGUGGGGAUGACAACUCUGAGGAGAAAGAGAUGGGUAAAUUUAGACAUGAAGGAUGAAUAGAAUUAGUUAUCAAAAUUUAGAGUUGGGUGGGGUGGGUGUGUUUUUAUUGAGGAAAGCAUUCCAAAAAGGAAAUGGCAUGGGCAGAGGUUGAGGGGAGAGAAGAGGCAUGUAUGAUACUAGGAACGAAAAGGAUCUCCAGCAAUUGCACUACUAGGUAUUUAUCCUAAGUAUAUAAAAAAGUUGAUUUGAAGGGUCACAUGUACCCCAAUGCUUAUAGCAGCACUAUCAACAAUAGUCAAAUUAUGGAAAGAACGCAAAUGUCUGUUGACUGAUGAAUGGAUAAAGAUGUGAUACAGGGGCACCUGGUGGCUCAGUCAGUUGGGCAUCUGCCUUUGGCUCAGGUCAUGAUCCCAGGGUCCUGGGAUCAAGCCCCACAUCAGGCUCCCUGCUCAGCAGGGAGUCUGCUUCUCCCUCUGCCCCUGCCCCCACUCAUGCUUUCUCGAUCACUCUCUCAAACAAAUAAAAUCUUUUUUUAAAAAAGGAAGAUGUGUAUAUACAAUGGAAUAUUAUUACUCAGUGAUCAAAAUCAAGAAAUUCAGGAAUAAAAUCUUGCCAUUUGCAACAAUGUGGAUGGAACUAAACUGCAUUAUAUUAAGCAAAAUAAGUCAGAAAAA